rnacentral:rRNA from 1 species
GAUGAACGCUGGCGGCGUGCCUAAUACAUGCAAGUCGAGCGAACGGACGAGAAGCUUGUUUCUCUGCUGUUAGCGGCGGACGGGUGAGUAACACGUGGAUCACCUUCUUAUAUGACUGGGAUAACUUCGGGAAACCGGAGAUAAUACCGGAUAAUAUUUUGAACCGCAUGGUUCAAAAGUGAAUGACGGUCUUGGUGUCACUUAUAGCUGGAUCCGCGCUGCAUUAGCUAGUUGGUAAGGUAACGGCUUACCAAGGCAACGAUGCAUAGCCGACCUGAGAGGUUGAUCAGCCACACUGGAACUGAGACACGGUCCAGACUCCUACGGGAGGCAGCAGUAGGGAAUCUUCCGCAAUGGGCGAAAGCCUGACGGAGCAACGCCGCGUGAGUGAAGAAGGUCUUCGGAUCGUAAAACUCUUUUAUUAGGAAAGAACAUAUGUGUAAUAAACUGUGCACAUCUUGACGGUACCUAAUCAGAAAGCCACGGCUAACUACGUG